CACGUAGGGGGCGAGCGUUGUCCGGAUUUAUUGGGCGUAAAGAGCUCGUAGGCGGCUCGGUAAGUCAGGUGUGAAACCUCCAGGCUCAACCUGGAGACGCCACCUGAUACUGCCGUGGCUAGAGUCCGGUAGAGGAGCGUAGAAUUCCUGGUGUAGCGGUGAAAUGCGCAGAUAUCAGGAGGAAUACCAGCGGCGAAGGCGGCGCUCUGGGCCGGUACUGACGCUGAGGCACGAAAGCGUGGGGAGCAAACAGG
rnacentral:rRNA from 1 species